rnacentral:rRNA from 1 species
CCUACGGGGGGCAGCAGUGGGGAAUAUUGCACAAUGGGGGGAACCCUGAUGCAGCGACGCCGCGUGGAUGAAGAAGUAUUUCGGUAUGUAAAGCUCUAUCAGCAGGGAAGAAAGAGACGGUACCUGACCAAGAAGCCCCGGCUAACUACGUGCCAGCAGCCGCGGUAAUACGUAGGGGGCAAGCGUUAUCCGGAUUUACUGGGUGUAAAGGGAGCGUAGGCGGCGAUGCAAGUCAGGAGUGAAAGCCCGGGGCUCAACCCCGGGACUGCUGUUGAAACUGCGUGGCUGGAGUGCAGGAGAGGCAGGCGGAAUUCGUAGUGUAGCGGUGAAAUGCGUAGAUAUUAGGAGGAACACCGGUGGCGAAGGCGGCUUGCUGGACUGUAAAUGACGCUGAGGCUCGAAGGCGUGGGGAGCAAACAGGAUUAGAUACCCUUGUAGUC